rnacentral:rRNA from 1 species
AGUCGUCUCAGUUCGGAUUGGAGUCUGCAACUCGACUCCAUGAAGCUGGAUUCGCUAGUAACCGCGCAUCAGCCAUGGCGCGGUGAAUACGUUCCCGGGCCUUGUACACACCGCCCGUCAAGCCAUGGAAGCCGGGGGUGCCUGAAGUGCGUGACCGCAAGGAGCGCCCUAAGGUAAAACCGGUGACUGGGGCUAAGUCGUAACAAGGUAUC